UACAGAGGGUGCGAGCGUUGUCCGGAAUCACUGGGCGUAAAGGGCGCGUAGGCGGCCUGAUAAGUAGGGGGUGAAAUCCUGUGGCUUAACUGCAGGGCUGCCUCCUAGACUGUUAGGCUCGAGCACGGUAGAGGCAGAUGGAAUUCCCGGUGUAGCGGUGGAAUGCGUAGAGAUCGGGAGGAACACCAGAGGCGAAGGCGGCGACCUGGACAAGUACUGACACUCAACUACGAAAGCGUGGGGAGCAAACAGG
rnacentral:rRNA from 1 species